GAUGAAGAACGUAGCGAAAUGCGAUAAGUAAUGUGAAUUGCAGAAUUCAGUGAAUCAUCGAAUCUUUGAACGCACAUUGCGCCCGCCAGUAUUCUGGCGGGCAUGCCUGUUCGAGCGUCAUUUCAACCAUCAAGCCCCCGGCUUGUGUUGGGGACCUGCGGCUGCCGCAGGCCCUGAAAACCAGUGGCGGGCUCGCUAGUCACUCCGAGCGUAGUAAUACAUCUCGCUCAGGGCGUGCUGCGGGUUCCGGCCGUUAAAAGCCUUAUUUUACCCAAGGUUGACCUCGGAUCAGGUAGGAAGACCCGCUGAACUUAAGCAUAUCAAUAAGCGGGGA
rnacentral:misc_RNA from 1 species